rnacentral:rRNA from 1 species
UGGGGAAUAUUGCACAAUGGGCGCAAGCCUGAUGCAGCCAUGCCGCGGGUAUGAAGAAGGCCUUCGGGUUGUAAAGUACUUUCAGCGGGGAGGAAGGGAGUAAAGUUAAUACCUUUGCUCAUUGACGUUACCCGCAGAAGAAGCACCGGCUAACUCCGUGCCAGCAGCUGCGGUAAUACGGGGGUUGCAAGCGUUUAUCGGAAUUACUGGGCGUAAAGCGCACGCAGGCGGUUUGUUAAGUCAGAUGUGAAAUCCCCGGGCUCAACCUGGGAACUUCAUCUGAUACUGGCAAGCUUGAGUCUCGUAGAGGGGGGUAGAAUUCCAGGUGUAGCGGUGACAUGCGUAGAGAGCUGGAGGAAUACCGGUGGCGAAGGCGGCCCCCUGGACGAAGACUGACGCUCAGGUGCGAAAGCGUGGGGAGCAAACAGG